rnacentral:lncRNA from 1 species
GCUCCUCUCUCUAUGGGGCCCCUCUCUCUAUAGGCCCCUCUCUCUACAGGCCCCUCUCUCUAUAGGCUCCUCUCUCUAUAAGGCUCCUCUCUCUAUGGGGCCCCUCUCUCUAUAGGCCCCUCUCUCUAUAAAACUCCUCUCUCUAUAAGGCUCCUCUCUCUAUAGGCCCCUCUCUCUAUGGGGCCCCUCUCUCUAUAAGGCCCCUCUCUCUAUAGGCCCCUCACUCUAUAGGCUCCUCUCUCUAUAGGCUCCUCUCUCUAUAUGCCCUCUCUAACUAUAGGACCCUUCUCUCUACAGGCUCCUCCCUCUCUGGUCUCUCGCUCUGAACUCUAUCAAAGGCAGUGAUUCUUCUGACAGUGAUUGAUCUGAAUUACAGCCAAUCGCAGAAACAUCAAGCCAAAUUGUCAAUUUGAUCACUCCAAAUGUUUGUAAAAUAAGCCCCCUUUAAUGGGAGGUUACAUGUCUGGUGUUGAAACAGGAACAUAAAAAGAGGAGAGGGAAUGGAGAGGGGAAUAAAGGAGGGGAAGGAGCUGAAAGAAAAGCGUGGUGACUGGAGGUCUCCAUUUGGCAUGGUGGUUCAGUCAGUGACAGGGGAAGAGGCUACUGGCAGGCAGGGCUAGUCCUUUAGGAAGGAGAGGAGACAGGCAGGGCUAGUCCUUUAGGGGGGAGAGGAGACAGGCAGGGCUAGUCCUUUAGGGGGGAGAGGAGACAGGCAGGGCUAGUCCUUUAGGGGGGAGAGGAGACAGGCAGGGCUAGUCCUUUAGGAAGGAGAAGAGACAGGCAGGGCUAGUCCUUUAGGAAGGAGAGGAGACGAUAAAAGGAAGCCGGGGCUGUUCCUUUGUGCCUGAAUCAAUCGAUACUCCUGAGCGCACUCUUUUAAACACUAUCCAUGUGCUGCAGGGGUGCUGCUGGGGCAGGGCUGGAACAAAGACUGUCUCCUGUUCCUGAGGCCCCCACUAGAGAGACAAUGGGUGCAUCCCAAAUAGCAUGCCCUAUUCCAGGGUUCCCCAAUAGGCCCACGUGUGGUUUUAUUUGGCGUCUCAAGUUUUAUGAGGGGGGGGGGAAUUAUAAUAUAUAUAUA